rnacentral:misc_RNA from 1 species
UUCCUUGUUUGAACCAUGCAAGUUAAACACAAAGAAAAAUAACGAAUGCAUGGUAUAUGAAUGAUUGAAUGGUUGAACUUAAUUGGUUAUACUUGAAUUAUAUACAAGAAUAUAAUUUGAUGAAGAGUAUGGGAUAAAUUUGUGGAACGAAACAUUUCAUUUACAUAUCCAUUUACUUUCUUCUCGAGUUCUUAUUGAUAUGCAACAAUCUUUUGUACCGUGACAUUACAGGGAGUUAUUACUGAGGAUGUAGU